UACGGAGGGGGCGAGCGUUAUUCGGAAUCAUUGGGCGUAAAGGGCGCGUAGGCGGCCCCGUAAGUCUUGGGUGAAAGCCCUCGGCUCAACCGAGGAAUUGCCUUGGAUACUGCGGGGCUCGAGGCUGGAAGAGGGCAGUGGAAUUCCCGGUGUAGCGGUGAAAUGCGUAGAUAUCAGGAGGAACACCAAUGGCGAAGGCAGCUCGCUGGGACGUGACUGACGCUGAGACGCGAAAGCGUGGGGAGCAAACAGG
rnacentral:rRNA from 1 species